rnacentral:lncRNA from 1 species
UAUGACAUAAUUGCUCAUCCACUGUCUUUACACUGGUUACUGGGCCUUGUCAUCUUCUUUUUAAUUUUUUUUUGAUUUGCAAAUAAAAAACACUCUCUGUGUUCUCUUUGGGAGACUUUUAUCAGAACCAUCCAGCCCUGAACACAGAAGCAUUUCAAGAUCAAAAGGGAGGCAAAUAAUACUCUUCAGCAAGCAAGAUAAAGAUUCACACAUAAUUAAGCCAGGACUAUAGGAUUAUUUAAGUAGAUGUAUCUUUCAAGAAUAAUCGAAGUGCUAUAAGCUUUUCAAACUGCUGGAGCCAGUCCAGGAAAAGAAAGGGAACUGGCAGUGUGUUUGUGGAGGACAAGGGGAGGAGGAAGUAGAUGGAAAAGAGGGAAAGGGCAAGCAAUAGGUUACCAGCAUCUCUGUGUGCCAGGCCUUCCAUGCAGUUUAUCUGUGAGGCAAGUUUAUUAACCCCAUUUUCCAGAUGAAGAAAAGGAGGAUCAAAGUUAAUUUAACGUGGCAACGCUCAUGCAGACGAAAAGAAGCCGAGCAUGCCUUCUUCCUGUCUCUACAUCCAUGCUCUGUCUUGCAUGUUAAUUCUCUCCCCUUCAAGGUCUCAUUGAGGAGUGAAAUAACGUCUCUUAAUAUCCGUCCUGUGACAGUCACACUGCACCACAAACCUCCUGAUGACAGAGACGACCUUGCAAGGGACUGGGCCAUAAGUGAUCUCAGCCAGACUCCUCAGAUAAUGAGACACCCUUCCUGCUUCCUUCUGGGAAGUAAUGGGUUCAACUAUCUAAGAACACAGCCUUUCCAGGUGUCCUGGACUGUCUUCUGGAAAGGAAAGAAGCCCAUGAAUAUAAUAUAAGGUCUUAUUUUUCUGGCAAAUGUAUUUAAGUUCUGGACCAGGUUUUAUUAUUCCUUUUGUCAAAUGGCAAUUAGGAGGUCAAAUUUAUGUUCCAUUUCUUGAUUCCACAAUGUCCCUAAAGAGAAUAUGGUGUGGGCUGUUUUCCUGGUAUAUGCUGAUGGACAAUGGAGGAACAGAGAAAAAUCAUAUGAAAAGCGUGAUCCCAGUGCUGGUGAGAUAUUGAGGACCAUCUCCUGAGUAUCAGAUGACAUAAGAAGAACUAAGAUCAAUGAGACCAUCACUGCCUUCAAGCAGCUCAUACCCUAGUGGAAGAAGCCUAAAUGGCACUGACAGCUCAUUGAACAGGGCUUAUGCUGAGCUGAUGGGGCAUGCUGAACCAGCUGUCUUUCUAAAGGAGAGUUUAUCCAUUCAGAAAAUGUGAUGGGCCCUCAAGGAGCUACAAGCAUCUCUACUUUUAGAGAAGAACUUGAGAAAACACGUGGCAUAGCAAAUAUCUGAAAGACUAAAACUGCUCAGGCCUUGUUUACUUAAGUCAGUACGGAGUCAGCAGCCUCUAGGGAGGCAGCAAGGCAAAAGGGCAAGAUCGCUGGGGCUGGAUUCUGAAAAACUGGAUGAACUCAGAGCAAGGUAGAGGUCAUUCAGUCCAGCCUCCUCCCCUGUGUCUCUGAUAGAUACCAAGCAAGCCCUGUCUUGCCUACUGUUUCUGAUUGAGACCCUGCCUCACCCCACUCACCAUGCUGUGAAUGAUGCUGAGUCUGAACCUGUGCUGUGCAAUAUGGUAGCUAACAUCUUCACAUGAACACAUGAAAUGCGGCCAGUGUAACUGAGAAGACGACUUGUAAAUUUCACUUAAUUUUAAAUAGUUCAAACUUAAAUUUAAAAACUUAUAUUUAAUUCCACUUUUGGACACUUCUCAAAUAUAUUUGGAACAACUUGUUUAAGUGAGCUUAUUUUUCCAACUGUAAAUUUCAUGAAAUCUAAAUACAGAUGAAGUAUUUCUGAGGAAAACAUAACAUUCAUAUUGAAAUGUGCUGUUAGCGUAAAAUGCACAUUGGAUUUUGA